AGAGUUUGAUCCUGGCUCAGAUUGAACGCUGGCGGCAUGCCUUACACAUGCAAGUCGAACGGCAGCACGGGAGCUUGCUCCUGGUGGCGAGUGGCGAACGGGUGAGUAAAGCAUCGGAACGUACCUUGUCGAGGGGGAUAACGCAGCGAAAGUUGUGCUAAUACCGCAUACGUCCUGAGGGAGAAAGCGGGGGACCGCAAGGCCUCGCGCGAUGAGAGCGGCCGAUGUCAGAUUAGCUAGUUGGUGAGGUAAAGGCUCACCAAGGCGACGAUCUGUAGCGGGUCUGAGAGGAUGAUCCGCCACACUGGGACUGAGACACGGCCCAGACUCCUACGGGAGGCAGCAGUGGGGAAUUUUGGACAAUGGGGGAAACCCUGAUCCAGCCAUGCCGCGUGAGUGAAGAAGGCCUUCGGGUUGUAAAGCUCUUUCGGCCGGGAAAAAAUUGCACGGAUGAACAGUCUGUGUAGAUGAUGGUACCGGACUAAGAAGCACCGGCUAACUACGUGCCAGCAGCCGCGGUAAUACGUAGGGUGCGAGCGUUAAUCGGAAUUACUGGGCGUAAAGCGUGCGCAGGCGGUUUUGUAAGACAGGCGUGAAAUCCCCGGGCUCAACCUGGGAACUGCGCUUGUGACUGCAAGACUCGAGUAC
rnacentral:rRNA from 1 species